UGAGGGAAAGUUGCAAAGAACUUUGAAGAGAGAGUUCAAGAGUACGUGAAACUGCUCAGAGGCAAACGGGUGGGCCCUCGAAAUCCUCUUGCGGAGGGAUUCAGUCGGGCGCCGCACGAGGUGCGCCGGCUCCGGACCUGAAGAAAGGCCGAGACCGGCGAGAUCGGGCGCGCUCGACGCACUUCCCCCCGCACUCUGGACGCCGCAUCGAAUCUGGUAGCUGCGAGAGUCGGCCUUGAGACGGUCCCAGGAGGUGACCGGGGAAUCGGCUCCGGCCCCUUCCCCGGUUUUUGACGGGACCGCCGCGUGGCGCGACACCAGAUCGUCGUCCGGUAGUCGCCCCCUCGCGGGGCGACCUCCUCUCCUGCGCUGCGUCGCGGUGCUCGGGCCAGUGAGCGCCGGCGAGGCCGAACCACUCCCCGUAGUGGCCGGUCCGACGGACGCCGUGGUUGGGCUCGAGCGGGCCGCGGAGGGAGAGGCACUUGCGGCGAGUAGGUCGGUCACCCACCCGUCCCGUCUUGAAACACGGACCAAGGAGUCUAACAUGUGCGCGAGUCGCAGGGUCUUGGACAGGCCCUCGGGCGCAAUGAAAGUGAACGCGUUGGGACUCCACCCCCGCCCGGGGGGGGAAGCACCAACGGCCCGUUCCGUCCGACCAGUCGGUGGAGCGGAGUCGGAGCGCACACGUUGGCACCCGAAAGAUGGUGAACUAUGCCUGGGCAGAACGAAGCCAGAGGAAACUCUGGUGGAGGUUCGUAGCGGUUCUGACGUGCAAAUCGAUCGUCAGACCCGGG
rnacentral:rRNA from 1 species